CAACCCUCGAGCCCCCGUGGCCCGGCGUUGGAGAUCUGCCACGGCAGUCUCCCAAAAUCAGUGGCGGACCCGAAGGCCCUCUCCUUUGCGCAGUAGCAUCAGCCUCGCAUUGGGAUCCCUCGGCGUCCUGCCUCUAAACCCCCCACAAGCCCGCUCCGGCGGCACCAAGG
rnacentral:misc_RNA from 1 species